rnacentral:rRNA from 1 species
GACAGAGGGUGCAAACGUUGUUCGGAAUUACUGGGCGUAAAGCGAGUGUAGGCGGUCUGCUAAGUCGGGUGUGAAAGCCCUGGGCUCAACCCCAGGAAGUGCACUCGAAACUGGCAGGCUAGAGUACUGGAGAGGUUGGUGGAAUUCCUGGUGUAGCGGUGAAAAUGCGCAGAUAUCAGGAGGAAACACCUGCGGCGAAGGCGGCCUUCUGGACGAUGACUGAC